UACUUGAGAUUUCCUUUAAAUGCAGCCCAAACAUUCCAACCAGUUGACUAUCCAGUACAAGCAGUAAUAGCAAGGUUUGUGUUGAACUUAUUGAACUGCAAGGCAUGUCUCAAGGAGGUCAUUUUUGUGGUGUGCAGAGUAGUGUAUGAUCUCUAACUCUGGUAGUCUGGGCACAGAAUUAAUGAGAGGUUUCAUGUGUAUCUAAAAGAACGUUUUUUUCCCCCCGAGAAUUUAUUACCCUUGUUUUAUCAUGUGCUCUCUAAGCUAUUCAAGUUGGUGGUCUGAAUGGUAACUUCAAAAUUUCUCUUAAAAGCUCUCCUUGGGGCUCGUGUACCUUUCUGUGUGCUAUAUUUCGAUGAAAGAAAAACAACUCUGUUUAAGUCUCACUUUCUCCAGGAUGAAUUUAACAUACCCAUCGCCCUGUAUCUUUGGCAUUUCCUGAAACACUCAGCACUUAAGAAGCCUGUACCGUGAUCUCGGGAACUGGCGAACUGUACUUUAGUGAAAGGAGCGCUAGACUCAGUCAGCGUCCCUGACUCUACAGUUCAUUCUUGGUUCUUUCAGAUGCUGUGAUGUUGACAGCUGCUAUAUCCGUCUUGAAAAUGAGAAGACAAGCCCCAGGAAAAAGGCUUUCUACUGAACAUAGCAGAAAAGAAAUAUGAAAAUGAGUUGAGUCCUUUGUGGAUGAAAAAAGGGUCACAUACUAACCCUGACAAGCUCAGGGAAUCCCUACAAACUCAGAGACCAAAAGUAAUCAUGUGGGAUGGUCAGAACACAAAAGUUCUUAACUGAAAGUGGGCUGUGGUAGGUGGUCAAGUUCUGGGCCUGUAACUUACUUGGCAAAGGUCAAUUUUUACCCUAAGUGAGCCCAUCUAUCACCGUUUUGCAUCUAAGAGAACAUAUCUUUGAAAUGUCAAAUCUUUUUCAGACCCCUCAGGGCACAACCACUGCACCAGACCACAGAACCCCUCGUGGUUAUUUCGUUCCCAGGAUACCAUCUCUAUGUGCUGUAAAUGUUAAUUAUUAAUUAUCCUGUACCCACCAAUGUAAGAGAAGUAUGUAUUUCUCUGUUUUACUUUUUAUCCAGUCUCAGAGAUUUCCCUGCUUUUCUCUCACACCGUUAAGAUACCACCGAUGGAUUUCAUAUGACCCUCCUUACAUCUCCUCCUUUGAUACUAAUGUAUAAAAUAAGUGGCAAUACUUUCAGUUUCUGGGAUAUUUUCUCAAUCUGUUGAGAUUUUGCUUCCCGGCAAUUGUUGCCAGUUUUUGGCCACACUGGACAAAUAAACUCAUAAAAAUUCUUUA